CAAUAGCAUAUAUGAAUGUUGUUGCAGUUAAAACGCUCGUAGUCGAUAUUGUUGGAUCAGCCGUCCAUUAUUGGAGUCGGAUUCACAACCAACCCUACCUAUUGGUGGGAAAGAGUGCACUUUUGCGUUCCUGGUGGAUAUUGAUGAUUUCUAUUGAAAUCAUUGAUCAUUACCUUGAAUGAAUCAGAGUUCUCAAAGCAGUGCUGGUGCACACUGAAUGAUCAAGCAUGGGAUAAUACAUAUCACUGUUGACAAAUACUGUAUUGGUGCUAAGGCCAACACUUACAAGUGAUUAAUAGGAACAGUUGAGGGCUCUAGUACUGAAUGGCGAGAGGUGAAAUUCUUAGACCCAUUCAAGACUUUAUGAGGCGAAAGCAUUUGCCAAGGAUGUUUUCAUUGA
rnacentral:rRNA from 1 species